UGUUUCGGCUAGGGGGCCAUCCCGGCUUACCAACCCGAUGCAAACUGCGAAUACCGGAGAAUGUUAUCACGGGAGACACACGGCGGGUGCUAACGUCCGUCGUGAAGAGGGAAACAACCCAGACCGCCAGCUAAGGUCCCAAAGUCAUGGUUAAGUGGGAAACGAUGUGGGAAGGCCCAGACAGCCAGGAUGUUGGCUUAGAAGCAGCCAUCAUUUAAAGAAAGCGUAAUAGCUCACUGGUCGAGUCGGCCUGCGCGGAAGAUGUAACGGGGCUAAACCAUGCACCGAAGCUGCGGCAGCGACACUGUGUGUUGUUGGGUAGGGGAGCGUUCUGUAAGCCUGCGAAGGUGU
rnacentral:rRNA from 1 species